GAUAUACAACAGUACAGUAGGUAAAGGUUUUGUGUACAAUAGUUUACUAUGAUGCUAUGGUCAAAUAAACUUGAAACUUUGUACUUUCAAGUGUUCAUUAUGAAGUCAGUAUUUUUUAAACAAUUACAAAUAAGUUACUGAACAUGGAAAUCUGAUUGUGGAAGAAGGGUACAAUGUGUUAUGGACGCAUAUCUCAAUUGCCCUCCUCACCAGCCUCUCAGUAAUGGAAUUUUGACUUUGAAAAUUUCCUUAGUUUAC
rnacentral:lncRNA from 1 species